AACGUUGCGCAGUGGCAGUAUCAUAGCCAAUGAGGUUUAUCCAAGGUGUGAUUAUUGACAAUUGAAAAAUUGCUGAUCACAGGUCACCAUAAUAAAUAGAAUUAUCACAAUGUG
rnacentral:snRNA from 1 species